rnacentral:lncRNA from 10 species
UUGAAUUUUGGCAAUUUAAAAAAUAAUCUAAAAAUCAUUAUACACAUAAAGAUAUAGGAAAGAUUUUAUUUUUCUUGAAAUAGGUACAACUUCAAUUUGUUCUAAUAUUCUGAACAUUUCUCUAUAUUCUCAGUGUUUUCUCUCAUGACAUUUUGUGAUCUAAAUGAUUUUAAGAUUUAUAAACCAAAUUCUUUGGAACAGUCAAUUCUUUAGAUCAAUUUGUUCUCCAAAGCAGGUUAUGACGUGAUUCAAAUGACAUACUAAACCUGGAAGUGAAUCCCACUUUUGCCACAAAUUAGCUGUGUAACUUUAGUAAGUCACUACUUACGUAAAACAAACACCCCAGAAAGGAAAGCUUCAUCAUCCUCCGCCUGCAGUGGGAUUUGGGGAAGUGUGCUGACGCAACUCAGAUUUUCAAUUGCCAAACAACGACUGAGCUCAUCUGUAUGGAGUUGGUAAAUUAGAAAAGGUAAACGACAAGAAAUGUUGCGUAAUGACACCAUAAGAAAAAAAAAGUCAUUUCUGAGUUUGCUGUUCUUUAAACUCUUUGAAUUCUUGCUUCAGUGGCUCUGUUGAGUCACAGCUGUGAUCCAUGUUGGCAUGAACCAAAAAUAACAUGACUAACUGCAAAGGUUACAGGGUUUUGGCCAGCUUUUUACGGCCACACAGCAGUACCUUUCUGUUGAGUGGAAAUGUAACAUUUAGCUUGUAAGGCAAAUCUUUCUCAAGCAGGUUCUUAUUCAAAGUUGUUUUAAGUCUUCCCAAGGCGUUGUUUCUGCUCUGCUGAAAGCUGGAGUCAGCAGACUGCUAAGGUCUGAAAGAUACAGAAUUUAAAGGACACACUUAUCUUAGUGCAACUUCCUGUAAACAUCCUAUGCCUGACAAGACCACUAAUGGAGAAAAUGUAGCACGUUGCUUAAGUAACAUAAAAUGAGUACUACAUCUGACUUCCAUUAGCAAACAUAAACGCUUUUCAGACUCCUUUCCCCUUCUUCCCCCUCCUUCCCCCAAAAUGGCACUACGGACUGCUUCACUUUUUCCAAUCCUACAGUGAUAUUUGGAAAGUUCCAUUUGCUUCCGUGAAGAAAAAUACAGAGAAGGAAAAAAUACAUAAUAGCCAUCUAUCAUCUUGUAUGUGAGGCUGCUUGGUUAUGGGAUUCUCCCCUCCCCACCAGAAAACUCUGUGUGUUCUAUGACUAAUUUAGGUAUCAUGGUGAUAACCCUAUUUUUCUCUAAAUAAA